GACGAACGCUGGCGGCGUGCUUAACACAUGCAAGUCGAACGGAAAGGCCCCUUUGGGGGUACUCGAGUGGCGAACGGGGGCGUAACACGUGAGUAACCUGCCCUUGAUUUCGGGAUAACUUCAGGAAACUGGGGCUAAUACCGGUUAGGAAUCCUUGCUGCAUGGUGGGGGUUGGAAAGCUUUUGCGGCUUUGGAUGGACUCGCGGCUUAUUAGCUUGUUGGUGGGGUAGUGGCUUACCAAGGCAUUGACGGGUAGCCGGCCUGAGAGGGCGAGCGGCCACAUUGGGACUGAGGUACGGCCCAGACUCCUACGGGAGGCAGCAGGGGGGAAUAUUGCACAAUGGGCGGAAGCCUGGUGCAGAAACGCCGCGGGCGGGAAGACGGCCUUCGGGUUGUAGACCGCUUUCAGCAGGGGCGAAGCUUGUGGUGACGGUACCUGCAGAAGAAGCACCGGCUAACUACGUG
rnacentral:rRNA from 1 species